AUGCCUUCUGCCUUUAGAAGGCUUUUUGCUACAAUAUUGGUUUUCUGUGAGGUAAAAAAUGUCCGUGAAUUAUGGGAAAAGCAUUUUGAGGCCAUGGCUGAUGAUUUUCAGCAGGGCAGCGCAACUGAUAAAGAAUCUAUAGAGCAGAUGGUACUUAGAGAUAUUAGUGAUAUCCUAUAUUCAAUAGGGAAGGACAUCAGUUGCUUUGAUCUUCCAGAAAUGCUAGAUGGCACUGGGUUGGCUGGCUCUAAUUGUAGAGAAGUAAUAGAAGAGAUGUCUAUUAAUAUUGAUCCAGAGCAUCUGGACCUUUAUGCAACACUAAAUUGUGAGCAAAGACUUGCCUUUGAUGAGAUAAUGCAUCACGUCCUAUAG
rnacentral:rRNA from 1 species